AGGUGAACCUGCGGAAGGAUCAUUACCAAAGUCCGAGGGUCUCUUAAGGCCCGGUGUUAUGUUGCACUUUUUUCUUUUUUUUUCUUUUCCCUUUUGCUUACCUAGGCGUGUGCGUCUGCCUUAACUGUUGCGGUUCGCCGCCUUUGGUAAGCGAAAUAAAGAAAUUAAAUCAAAAAAAAGAAGGUAAUGUUGUAUUGAUCGGAUCUAACAAAUCCGUAUCAGACCUUGUGUGCACCUACUGAACUGUAUGCUUUGGGAGGUGUUGUGUUUCUCUCUCCUUUUGGGGGGAGGGAUUCCGGACUGGGUUGUUUCUCAGUUCCAGCCUUCCAGAGUUUUUUUCUCUUUAAUACUCUUCUUAAAUUCCUGUCUGAUAUUUUUUGUAAAUCAAAAUUGAAAUACAACUUUCAACAACGGAUCUCUUGGCUCUCG
rnacentral:misc_RNA from 1 species